rnacentral:lncRNA from 1 species
AGGCACAAGCACAGGGGAGGCAGGCAACACCAGCCCUCAGGCUACACUCUCCAUUUGGAGCAGAGCUUCUUCGGCAGCCCCAGGUCUCCCGGGAUCUUCCUCGGUGUCCUGCGGAGGCUCUGGCUCCAGCGUGGGCUCCAGCGCAGGCUGGGCUUCCGGCUGGGCUUCAGCGCUCCGGCCAGGCCCAAGGCGAGGCGGCUUGACCGGGGUGGGCGGUGGCGCUGCAGGGCCUUUCCGGCCCGAAAGGGCCCUUCGGAGGCUCUGUACCUUCUGCAAUCCGGUGCGCCGCAGCCGCUGGGCCCUGGACUCCACCGGCUCCUCGUCCGAGCUCUCUCCAACUUCGGCCUCCAGCUGCUCUGGGCCCAGCUCGGACUGGUCCGCCGGGCCCAAGGGCUCUGGUGCCUUCUGGAAAGCGCUGGCUGGGACUUCACCCUCCUCCUGCAUGUGACGGACACAGCACUGAUCCUGGCAGCUCCUUACCCCCAGCAGCCCGAAACUCACUCCUUAAUUACACAAGGGAAACCUUUUACCUCCGCAGCCAGAGUCUGGGGGGAAAGGCAGGCGUGGGAAGAUGGGUUCUCUACCUGGCCAGUGCCAUGUUGCCUGUUUCUUUACUGUAACUGUGGUGACAAAGAAAAGGGAAGAUGGAGCCUCCAUGUUGAACAUACCUGGCCCCCAGCACUAACUCCCUCUCUGGAUAUCUGGAACAAGGAGGACCUUAAACUUAACAAUAAAGCCAAUGAUGGUUCUACCAGUCUCCCCAAAGCCUCAAGUUUAAAAGCCAUAUGAACUGGCUGAUAGUGGAAAAUGGAAGCCAUGAGGAAAUCAGAUUAGAGUACUACCUGGUGAAGCCUGGAGGACCUACCAAGAAAAGCAAACUUGGAUCUUUGCAAGGUUAGAAGAACGAAUGGGAUCCAAGAAAAAGACUGGUCAUAUUCAACGGCUAAGAGCGUUGGAGAAGGCCUGUGGAGUCUCAGCAGGUCAGGUCCAUGACUCAUGAGUAGACACCUGUGUUUCUACUGCCUGGUGCCAUAAUCAUAAACAAGGAAGAAACUGAGGACAGGAGGGGCCAAACAAGUUACAGUUUCAUCCCUCCAGAGAGCCAACAGAGUAUUUUGCACGAAGUUGAAGCUAAACAGGUAUUAUGUCCUAUCUCUGGACUGAAUGACUAGAUGCUACUCAGCUUCUGAACUAGAGGAAGCCUGGGACCUUGACCGCACUAAUGCUGAUGACAGCGGAUUUGCAAGUGGCUAGAGGUACCAGAUUUAGCAAAUCAAAAUAUAGGACGUCAAGUUAAAUUUAAGUGUAAGAUAAGCUACGAAUACCUUUUCUAGUAUUAGUACGUCCCAUGCAAUAUACUAGAAAUGUUAUUCGUUAUUUAUGUUAAAUUUAAUUUUAUUAGGGCAUCCUAUAUUUUACCUGUCAAUCCAACCCAUGACCUAGGCAGACACUGUAGAAAAACAAAAGGAGAAUUAAGGAGAUAAAUGAAACACAGGGUGAGCUGAAAAGAGGUGCUCUGUGAAUUUGAGGGUCCAGUAGGAGCUGACUUGUAGGUACUUGGUCUGUUUUGAUGCCCACAACAACCUUGGGGAAGGGGCGGAAUAGCAGAGGGGUAAGCUCUCUGCCCCCCACCAGGGUUCUGCAGGACGCCAGGGCUUUUAUCAGCACCCCUAUGUUCACAUCCUGGCUGCACCCUCCUUGGUUGUAUAUACUCUGGAUAAUUCACUUAAUUUAAAUCUUGCUGCUUUUAUAAAAUUGAUAAAAAGUUAAUAGUGACACUGAUCACACUGAUGUCCCUCAAUGAAUUAUCAAUAUGUUUUUUCUUCCCACCUAUAUUCUUUAUUGAACUCUGUUAUUUUUGAUCCUGGUCUAGAGUAAGCAUUAUGACCAUGCAAGAGUGAAAUGAAAUUUUUAAAAAUAA